CUCUGGCCCCUCAAAGUGGUCCCUUAUCUCUGAUACCCAUUGUGAUGAUGCUUCUCCUUCUUCUGUGUGGUUGAGAAGAUCCGGGUCAUGUUCCAGGACUCUCUUCCUCCUGUAAUGUGCAAUAGGUGGACUGAACACCACACAAGGAUGAAAAUCGUUCAGUCUAGAACCAGACCGGACCAGGCUGCUGACCCGGCAGAGUCUAAUAAAACAAGCCACCUCCUGGAUGUCGGGAGAGUCAAACAAGACAACUUGGCAAGGAUCCAUGAGCCUUAAAGAAAUCAGUUGGAUAUAUGACAGUUAAAGGGGCGAUGGAGACUGCUUCAGAGGUGGUGAUGGAGACACUAGCACCUUGGUGGCAUUCCUAC